AGUGAACGCUGGCGGUAGGCCUAACACAUGCAAGUCGAACGGCAGCACAGUAAGAGCUUGCUCUUACGGGUGGCGAGUGGCGGACGGGUGAGGAAUACAUCGGAAUCUACUUUUUCGUGGGGGAUAACGUAGGGAAACUUACGCUAAUACCGCAUACGACCUACGGGUGAAAGCAUGGGAUCUUCGGACCUUGCGCGAUUGAAUGAGCCGAUGUCGGAUUAGCUAGUUGGCGGGGUAAAGGCCCACCAAGGCGACGAUCCGUAGCUGGUCUGAGAGGAUGAUAAGCCACACUGGAACUGAGACACGGUCCAGAGUCCUACGGGAGGCAGCAGUGGGGAAUAUUGGACAAUGGGCGCAAGCCUGAUCCAGCCAUACCGCGUGUGUGAAGAAGGCCUUCGGGUUGUAAAGACCUUUUGUUGGGAAAGAAAAGCAGCAGGUUAAUACCCCGCUGUUCUGACGGUACCCAAAGAAUAAGCACCGGCUAACUUCGUG
rnacentral:rRNA from 1 species